GCAGCCUGCGGCGAACCAGUUCUCGCUGCCGAAUUGGGCAGCCCGCAGCAAACCAGUUCUCGCUGCCGAUUCCUACAAUAAGCCUCCUAGGCAGUAAUGACUUAAAUGCUAAUAACAAUUUCAUGAUAUGAUGGUGUAAAAUAGGGAACACUUGAAUGUGAACAUAUGAACUAUUGAAAUAAGUGUGAUGAUGAAUGUGAUUCAAAAAUAAAAUAAAUACAACUGUGCUGAUUUGUGACCAUUGAUGUCUUAGGUGGUGCGGUCGGGAUGGGACCAUCAUCAAGACAGGAACGACCCACAGGUGGAGCAGGGACGUCACACCAACGAGAUGUCUAGGAUACCCGAUACACGGGAACCUACUUUUGCAAGGAAUUAAGUAGAUGCAUUCUAAAUCACAAUGUAUUUUGUAGGGAUCAAUGUACUGAAUGUAUAACUUUUAUUAGAUCCUUUUUGUUUAAAAUUUGUGAUGGCUAUUAGAAGUAUAAGAGUGCAAACUCAUGUCCAUGUAUAUAUAUUUUUAAUAUGAACUUCAAAUCAUGCAACCUUAAUAUUAUGUGUUUGUGUAAGAUUCGCU